rfam:Brassica oleracea var. oleracea cultivar TO1000 chromosome C1, whole genome shotgun sequence
GACUUUGUGGCCCAAUGGAUAAGGCACUGGUCUACGAUAUAUCACACAACCAGAGAUUAUGGGAUCGAUCCCCAGCAGAGUCU